UCCAUCUCCAUCGAUGACCGAUUAUUCUUUUCCUUUUCUAAAAAUUUUCAAACAAAAACAUUGUGUCCAUUACCGAUGACUGCAAAACUAAUUAAUCAUUCAUUUUGUCUACAAUGUCGAAAUCGCCAAGAUUUAUGCACGCCAGUGGAGUUACUUAUCCUAGUGAGAGUAAUCCAGGAAUUUCUCAAGCGAUUUGAAAUAAAGAAUCGAAGAACAAAAACGGUUGUCAAAGACGACCAAACUCUGAGUCAAUACAAGCAAAAGGAAUAGCUCGAAUCAGGACAACAAGGAAAAGAAAAAGCAAGUUGAAAGAGAGCGAAGAAGAACGUGAUCUUGCUUAUCCUCCGAGUUUGGUCCUCGUUGAAAGGGAGGUCAAAAUUUGGAUGUUAAACACCAUAGGGGAUCUACCACUAAAGUUAAAUCGCUCACCCUAGGUGAAGCAACUCCAGUGGAGCUUCCAACACGAAAUAUUUUUUGAAUCUCUUACAACAUGUGAUAAAGAAAGUAAUGAAGGACAACGUGGUGGCAAAGAAGUUGGUAAAGAAGAAAGUAACGACAAAAAAAGCAUAUGAAGAAAAAAAAUGAUGAAGAAGAAUGUGAUAAGGAAAAAGGGAGAGGAAAAGAAGUUCAACAACAAGGAACCAAAGCAAACGCUCCAAAGCUACCACCGAAGAAUAAACGGGAAUACAUGCCCAAGUCGGAGAUGAUGUUCCCUCGCGGUCCUAAUAAUCAUUUUUAUGGGUUACCUAAUAUAAGGGAGAACUUUUAUAAGGGGUACAAAUAGAACUGGGUUGUUGUCCUCUGUGGAACCGUAGUAAUCAUCUCAACCUUAUGCUAUGUCUCGACGCUAUCAUCUAUUAUUCGUCUAGUUUUUUGAUGAUUAUUUAUCUCGCGGUAUGCUUUUUAGGACAACAGAGAUGUCGUAUGUCUCCUUAUGCUAAGGACUUCACAUGAUAAGAAUCCCGAAGAGUCUUCAACCUAGUAUACGUUACAGGGUUGUUGGUUGCGGUCAAAAUUCGACUGUUGAAUAUGACAAACCUCUUUUUUCUGUCUUCUCCGAUAGAUAUUACGGGGAAACGGGUACUUUCCUUUUUCCAUUAGGAGAAAUUACAAUAACUCUAAUUCAUGUGAAGUUGAUUACUGUCUUCAACAUAGGAGGUAAGGUCAUAAGGAGAGCCAAACAACAUGAAUGAGCUUGAAUGCAUGAAGAUUUACGUUUUCACUAAGAGGGUCUUCGGUUGGGAUGAAGAGAAUACUAAGUUGGAGAUACUAGUAGGUGCAAUGAAGAAGAGUAUUCAAUCUCGCGAGCUUGAGGGAAUAAUUCUCACGGAUGUGGGAGUUUCUUAAAAAAUGGAUAGUUGACUGAGGAACGUAUCAAUGCUACAACUUAUGCAUAUGUCCUCUACAUCUUGGGAGUUGUUAUCUUUGUCGAUGUUUGCGGUUGUCGGAACACCGAUAAUAUACAGCUAUUUAAACCACAACAAAAGGUUCACGACUUCUCUUGGGACUCCGGGUGCCUCGUACACUUGUUGAACUAGUUUAGAAAGUUAUCUAAGACUGACAGGAACUAAAUCGGAGGGAAUAUGACUCUUCUGCGUGUAAUCUAAGUGGUAAAGUUAUUGUAUUAUUUUUUAUGUUA